UACGUAGGGGGCAAGCGUUGUCCGGAUUUAUUGGGCGUAAAGAGCGUGUAGGCGGCUAUACAGGUCCGCUGUGAAAACUCGAGGCUCAACCUCGAGACGUCGGUGGAAACCGUAUGGCUAGAGUCCGGAAGAGGAGAGGUGGAAUUCCUGGUGUAGCGGUGAAAUGCGCAGAUAUCAGGAAGAACACCCGUGGCGAAGGCGGCUCUCUGGGACGGUACUGACGCUGAGACGCGAAAGCGUGGGGAGCGAACAGG
rnacentral:rRNA from 1 species